AGAAGGGCACCAAUUCAAUGGGAGCCUGCGGCUUACUUUGACUCUGGCAGGAAAACUCACCCACCCCGGACAUCGCCUGAUUGACAUCCCCCUUUUCUUUCUUAAUUCAAUGGGUGGUGGUGCAUGGCGAUCUUCUUGGUGGAGCGAUUUGUCUGGUUCAUUCCGAUAACGAACGAUACUCUGGACUAUUAAAAAAGCCAUACUUAUCAGAGUGUAUCUGACUUCUUAGAGGGACAAGAGGCGUCUAGCCGACUGAUGUAGAUCCCCCUGGGGUCUGUGAUGCCGUUAUAUGACCGGGGCUGCCCUGACGCUACACUGAAGGAGCCUACGUGCGAUUUACCUAGUUCGAAGAAGACGACCAACCCGAGUAAAGUCUUUCGUGCCGGUAAUAGAGAAUUGCAAUUAUUUCUCUUAAACCGCGAAUUCGACAUCAAUGACGCUCAUAAGCUCGCGUUGAUUACGUCCCUGCCGUUUGUACUCACCGCCCGUCGCUGCUACUUCUUGUAUGACCUAUUCAGG
rnacentral:rRNA from 1 species